rnacentral:rRNA from 1 species
GGCGGCAGGCUUAACACAUGCAAGUCGAGCGCCUCGCAAGAGGAGCGGCAGACGGGUGAGUAACGCGUGGGAACAUACCCUCCGGUACGGAAUAACUCAGGGAAACUUGUGCUAAUACCGUAUACGGCUGGAAGGCGAAAGAUUUAUCGCCGGAGGAUUGGCCCGCGUCCGAUUAGCUAGUUGGUGAGGUAAUGGCCCACCAAGGCGACGAUCGGUAGCUGGUCUGAGAGGAUGAUCAGCCACAUUGGGACUGAGACACGGCCCAAACUCCUACGGGAGGCAGCAGUGGGGAAUAUUGGACAAUGGGCGAAAGCCUGAUCCAGCCAUGCCGCGUGAGUGAUGAAGGCCUUAGGGUUGUAAAGCUCUUUCACCCACGACGAUAAUGACGGUAGUGGGAGAAGAAGCCCCGGCUAACUUCGUGCCAGCAGCCGCGGUAAUACGAAGGGGGCUAGCGUUGUUCGGAAUUACUGGGCGUAAAGCGCGUGU